AAGAGAUUAGUUAAAUUAACUUUAGUAUGUCACACUAAAAUUGUUGGUCUAAAUCCAGCAUCUCUUG
rnacentral:tRNA from 1 species